rnacentral:rRNA from 1 species
UCAUUAAAUCAGUUAUCGUUUAUUUGAUAGUACCUUACUACUUGGAUAACCGUGGUAAUUCUAGAGCUAAUACAUGCUAAAAAUCCCAACUUCGGAAGGGAUGUAUUUAUUAGAUUAAAAACCAAUGCCCUUUGGGCUCACUGGUGAUUCAUGAUAACUUCUCGAAUCGCAUGGCCUUGCGCCGGCGAUGGUUCAUUCAAAUUUCUGCCCUAUCAACUUUCGACGGCUGGGUCUUGGCCAGCCAUGGUGACAACGGGUAACGGAGGGUUAGGGCUCGACCCCGGAGAAGGAGCCUGAGAAACGGCUACUACAUCCAAGGAAGGCAGCAGGCGCGCAAAUUACCCAAUCCCGACACGGGGAGGUAGUGACAAUACAUACUGAUACAGGGCUCUUUUGGGUCUUGUAAUUGGAAUGAGUACAAUUUAAAUCCCUUAACGAGGAACAAUUGGAGGGCAAGUCUGGUGCCAGCAGCCGCGGUAAUUCCAGCUCCAAUAGCGUAUAUUAAAGUUGUUGCGGUUAAAAAGCUCGUAGUUGAACCUUGGGCCUGGCUGGCCGGUCCGCCUCACCGCGUGCACUGGUACGGUCGGGCCUUUCCCUCUGGGGAACCGCAUGCCCUUCACUGGGUGUGUCGGGGAACCAGGACUUUUACUUUGAAAAAAUUAGAGUGUUCAAAGCAGGCUUAUGCUCGGAUACAUUAGCAUGGAAUAAUAGAAUAGGACGUGCGGUUCUAUUUUGUUGGUUUCUAGGACCGCCGUAAUGAUUAAUAGGGACAGUCGGGGGCAUCAGUAUUCAAUUGUCAGAGGUGAAAUUCUUGGAUUUAUUGAAGACUAACUACUGCGAAAGCAUUUGCCAAGGAUGUUUUCAUUAAUCAGGAACGAAAGUUAGGGGAUCGAAGACGAUCAGAUACCGUCGUAGUCUUAACCAUAAACUAUGCGAACUAGGGAUCGGACGAUGUUAUUAUUUGACUCGUUCGGCACCUUACACGAAAGUACAA